CCUACGGGGGGCUGCAGUGGGGAAUAUUGGACAAUGGGCGAAAGCCUGAUCCAGCCAUGCCGCGUGUGUGAAGAAGGCCUUCGGGUUGUAAAGCACUUUCAGUGGGGAAGAAAGCCUUGGGGCUAAUACCCUCGAGGAAGGACAUCACCCACAGAAGAAGCACCGGCUAACUCCGUGCCAGCAGCCGCGGUAAUACGGAGGGUGCGAGCGUUAAUCGGAAUUACUGGGCGUAAAGCGCGCGUAGGCGGUCUGAUAAGCCGGUUGUGAAAGCCCCGGGCUCAACCUGGGAACGGCAUCCGGAACUGUCAGGCUAGAGUGCAGGAGAGGAAGGUAGAAUUCCCGGUGUAGCGGUGAAAUGCGUAGAGAUCGGGAGGAAUACCAGUGGCGAAGGCGGCCUUCUGGACUGACACUGACGCUGAGGUGCGAAAGCGUGGGUAGCAAACAGGAUUAGCUACCCGAGUAGUC
rnacentral:rRNA from 1 species